rnacentral:tRNA from 1 species
GUCUAUGUAGUAUAUUUAAUUACACUGGUCUUGUAAACCAGAAAAGGAGAAUAAACACUCUCCAAAGACU